UACGUGAAACCGUUCAGGGGUAAACCUGAGAAACCCGAAAGGUCGAAGGGGGAGAUUCAAUCGCCUCUCGCCGCGUCGGCGUGCCUCGGACGCGCGACGGUCGCCGGCCGGUCCUCGCGACCGCGCCGUCGCCGCGCCGUUCGUAGCGCGUAUCGGCCGCGAAGGCGUGCACUUCUCCCCUUGUAGGACGUCGCGACCCGUUGGGUGCCGGUCUGAGGUCCGCGGUGUAGCCCGCGUCGUCGGCUUCGGCCGCGCGGCGCGGACCCGCGGUGUCCCGGCCGGCUCGCCCGACGGUAGCAAACCGAGGAAGGCGUGGGGCCGCGAACUCGUUCGCGCGCCGGCCCGCCGCAAGCGCGCACGGUAAAUCCGGCGGCCGGACCUAGCGCCGGCUCCGGACCCGGGCGGCUGCUGGCGGCGGUGUCCUCGCGCAGGCUCCGACACGCGCCCGUCGGCGACGCCGUAGCUUUGGGUACUCUCAGGGCCCGUCUUGAAACACGGACCAAGGAGUCUAGCAUGCGCGCGAGUCAUCGGGAACCGAUAAACCCGUAGGCGCAGUGAAAGCGAAGGCCCGCCUCGCGCGGGCCGAGGGAGGAUGGGUCUCCGUUCGCGGGGGCCCCGCACUCCCGGGGCGUCUCGCGCUCAUCGCGAGCUGAGGCGCACCUAGAGCGUGCACGCUGGGACCCGAAAGAUGGUGAACUAUGCCUGGUCAGGACGAAGUCAGG
rnacentral:rRNA from 1 species